rnacentral:rRNA from 1 species
AUUGAACGCUGGCGGCAUGCUUUACACAUGCAAGUCGAACGGUAACAGGCCGCAAGGUGCUGACGAGUGGCGAACGGGUGAGUAAUGCAUCGGAACGUGCCCAGUCGUGGGGGAUAACGCAGCGAAAGCUGUGCUAAUACCGCAUACGAUCUGUGGAUGAAAGCGGGGGACCGAAAGGCCUCGCGCGAUUGGAGCGGCCGAUGUCAGAUUAGGUAGUUGGUGGGGUAAAGGCUCACCAAGCCAACGAUCUGUAGCUGGUCUGAGAGGACGACCAGCCACACUGGGACUGAGACACGGCCCAGACUCCUACGGGAGGCAGCAGUGGGGAACUUUGGACAAUGGGCGCAAGCCUGAUCCAGCAAUGCCGCGUGCAGGAAGAAGGCCUUCGGGUUGUAAACUGCUUUUGUACAGAACGAAAAGGCUCUGGUUAAUACCUGGGGCUCAUGACGGUACUGUAAGAAUAAGCACCGGCUAACUACGUGCCAGCCGCCGCGGUAAUAC